rnacentral:rRNA from 1 species
UUAAUUAUAGUUAAAUAGUAUUGUGAAAGAAAAUUGAAAUAAUUUGAAAAAUUAAUAUUUUAAAAGAAAAUUUAAUUUAUUGUACCUUGUGUAUCAGGGUUUAUUAAUUAAAAAUUAUUUAUUAUAAUUUUCUCGAUUUUAAAAGAGUUAAUAUAUUAUAAAAGUUAAUGUGACAAAAUUAUUUUAUAUAAUAUAUUAGAAAUGAAAUGUUAUUCGUUUUUAAAGGUAUCUAGUUCUUUAAGAAAUAAAUUUAAUUUAGAAAUAUUAUAUUAUUUAGUUAAAUGUAUUAAUUAAAUAAUUAUUUUAUUUUAAUAUUUUAUGGGAUAAGCUGUGAAAUAAAUUAUUAAAAAUUUUUAAAUAGUUUAAUAAAUAUAAGCUUAGAAAUAGCUAUUAUUAAUGAAAUUGUUAUAAUUUAUUUUAUAAUAUUUAUUAUUUAUUAAAUUUUAAUUAUGUAUUAGAGUAUUUAUUUUAAUUUUAAAAAUAAAAAAAUAAUGAUAAAAUUAGUAUAUUAUGAUGUAUAAAUAUGUGAAAUUGAUAAGUUUUUAUAAAGAACUCGGCAAAAAUAAUGUU